CUGGAUGUAAAGGCGUCUUAUUUUUGGGAUACGCGACCAAUGCAUGGUCAUAACUACAUGGAAAGUAGGGUCACAAGUUGAUCUGGCUGCCUUUCGUGUUUUCAAGAAGUAUUUGCGAAUUCUAUUAUACUACGGCGGUAAUUUCCCCAGUGGGUCAACGGCACAAUGGAAUGGAAUUGCGGAUUGUUAUAUUUUUUCCCCGCAAUGGUGGGGACCAACAUGGUGGAGUACAUUCAUCAAUCCGAGAGGAGUCAACCAAGUCCUCAUAUUCUGUGCCUCGGAGAUGAAUUUAAGACAAGUCAAGCAUGUACACGAGUGAGGGAGGGUGUAAAAUACUUUCAAUAAAUCCAUAUUUAAAUGCAAAUUUACAGUGGUCUA
ensembl:lncRNA